CCCAUUUCAGUGAAAAGAGUGCAUAGUUUUCUUGGACAUGCUGGCUUUUAUCGGAGGUUUAUAAAGGACUUCUCCAAGAUUUCAAAUCCACUUUGCAAACUCUUAGAGAAGGAGGCUAAGUUUGUCUUUGAUGAUGGUUGCAUAUAGUAAUUCAAAUGCCUUAAAGAGAAGUUUAUUGAGACUUCUAUUAUUAUCAUAACAGAUAGUUCAAAACCAUUUGAGAUAAUGUGUGAUGCAAGUGGUGUUGCCCUUGGAGCAGUGUUGGGACAGAAGAAGGAUAAAUUUUUUCACCCAAUUUAUUAUGCCUGGAAAGCAGUGAAUGGAUCUCAAAAGAACUACACCAUCACCGAAGAGGAACUCCUUCCUGUAGUCUAUGCUUUUGAGAAAUUUUAAGCUUAUCUGCUAGGGACCAAGGUGGUGGUCCACACUGACCAUGUAGCCCUGAGGUAUUUGAUGGCUAAGAAGGAUGCAAAACCAAGGUUAAUUAGAUGGGUGUUGCUGCUCUAAGAAUUUGACUUUGAAGUCAAAGAUAGGAAGAGUUGUGAAAACUAAGUUGCAAAUCAUCUAUAAUGAAAAUUAUCAUUUACAUAUUACGUGACUCUUUUGUAAGUUCAUUGGCUCUAUCUUACGCAAAAAUGUGCGGUUCUGGUCCGUACAUGUCUAGUAUGAUUCUCAUGCAAAAUUAUGUCUACUCUUGUCACUUGGGUUUUUUAAGCAUAUUUAAGGGAGAUAGAGGUGUUGAAGGCACUUCAAGGCUAUUAUCGCUAGUUGGCAUAGGUGCUCACUGGGAAAGUCGGUGUGUAGUAUGGGCAUAUGGUAGCAGGCAUGGCUAGUUUGUGUGAGCCAUUGGUACCUGCAAAACAACAUCAACCGUGCUUUAAUGUGUGCUCCCGUCUACUAUCUGUGGUGUUGUCCACGACGGGGCUAUUAGUGCUUGAUUCCAGAUGAGGUAGUGCUUUUGUGCGUGCGGCGAGUUCUAGAUUCUUCUCUCAGGGCAAGCUCCAGGCGAUGCACACAUGGGGCUGAGCCAAGUCCUCUGGCCGAUGGAAUAAUGUAGGCAAGGAAAGUCGGCACAUUGGAUUUUUAACUUUGAGAAAAGGAUUGGCUCUGAGGGCUGGGCAUGGGGGUCCAAGUCCCGAAUGAGACGGCUAUCAGUGGACUACUCGAGCUGCUCUAGCGGUGAGAGUGGGUCAUCGCGGGCUAGCUGUGAGAUGAAUUGGGCAUGAUUCCUUCGGGUGUCUUUCCCACGCGCCGAACAGCCAACUAAGAACUGGUAUGGACAAGGGGAAUCUGACUAUUUAAUUAAAACAAAGCAUUGUGAUGGUCCCAAUGGAUAUUCACGCAAUGUGAUUUUGUCCCAGUGCUCUGAAUGUCAAAGUUAUGAAAUUCAACCAAUCACGGGUAAACGGCGAGAGUAACUAUGAAUCGCUUAAGGUAUCCAAAUGCCUCGUCAUCUAAUUAGAGAUAUGCAUAAAUGGAUUGACAAGAUUCCCACUAUCCCUGUCUACUAUCCAGUAAAACCACAGCCAAGGGAAUGGGCUUGGUAGAAUCAGCGGGGAAACAAGACCCUGUUGUGCUUAACUCUAGUCUGACUUUGUGAAAUGACUUUAGAGGUGUAGUAUAAGUGGGAUCCGAGAGGCGAAAGUGAAAUACCACUACUUUUUAUGUUAAUUUACUUAUUCCGUGAAUCGAAAGUGGGGCAGUGCCUCUCUUUUUAUACCCAAGGCUUGCUCUGCAGGCCGAUCCGAUUGGAAGACAUUGUCAAGUGGGGAGUUUGGAUGGGGAAACACAUCUAUUAAAAGAUAACGCAGGUGUCCUAAGAUGAGCUUAAUGAGACAAAAAUCUUGUGUGGAAUAGAAGGGUAAAAGCACAUUUGUUUAUGAUUUCCAGUAUGAAUACGAACCGUGAAAGUGUGGCCUAACGAUCCUUUAGACCCUCAGAAUUUGAAGCUAGAGGUGUCAGCAAAGUUACCACGGGGAUAGUUGGAUUAUGGCAGCCAAUCGAUCAUAGCGACGUUGCUUUUUGAUCCUUCGAUGUCGGCUCUUCCUAUCAUUGUGACGAAGAAUUCACCAAGUGUUGGAUUGUACACCCACCAAUAGAAAAUUUGAGCUGAAUUUAGACUGUCGUGAGAUAGAUUAGUAUUAUCCUAAUAAUGAUAGUGUCACAAUAGUAAUUCAACCUAGUACAAGAGAAACCGUUGACUCAUAUAAUUGUUCAUCAUGAUUCAUUAAAAAUCUAGUGGUACAAAGCUAUCAUAUGUUGGAUUAUGACUGUCUGCCUCUAAGUCAGAAUUUGGGCUAGAGGCGAUGCAUGACCCACCGUCUGCUUGCCGACCAACAGUGGGGGCCUCGGCCCUCAAGGGCACGUAUCAUUGACUAAGCCAUCACGGUAGAAGAAUUGCGAUGGCUUCCUUGAAUUACAAUUUCCAUUGAGUGGCGGGUAGAAUCCUUUGCUGAUGACUUAAAUAUGUGACGGGGUAUUGUAAGUGGCAGAGUGGCCUUGCUUCUAUGAUCCCUUGAGAU
rnacentral:rRNA from 1 species